AUUACAAAUCCUGUUCAAACUUCGCGCUUUUCAAAGGCGAAUAUCCGUGAUUGACCGAGGCAAAUGCCAUAUUGUGUGCUGUUGCGAUUAGUGACUCUCAGACACACUCAUGGGGGUGCCGUUGUUUGCUCAAAGGAUAUUGAAAUGUUAUUUUAUUCACUAAGCAUUAGAUCGACUAUUACAACCGUUAUGAGAACUUACCGCCUUGAAUGUUGAGUCACUCAUUCUCAAAUUGCUAUUGUAAAUACAUACAGAUGCAUGCUUACAAAUAUGCUGUUGGACGCAACGUUACGGUGAAUGGCGAUCGCUAUCGUUCGAUGCUAACAAACUUUUUGUUGCCAAAAAUGGAAGAACUGAACUUGGUUGACAUGUGGUUUCAACAAGAUGGCGCUACAUGCCACACAGCUCGCGAUUCUAUGGCCA